CACAAAAACGCAAAAUAAAAAGGUUAAAAGAACAACAUGACCAAGAUAUCCUGAAACAAAUCCCGAAAUUGAAUGGAUACUUCAAGGCUGCUGAAUCUUCAGUUGAAGACGAGAUCGACAGCAGGAGGACUGCCAGCUAGCAUCGGCCAUCGCCAGUUGAGUAAGCAGGUGGCGUCCUCUACUGCAAUGGAGGACUCACCAAGGUCUGGACCUGGACAGGAAACACCAUCACACAACAGGCUUACCAGUGCGAACCAUUUCCGGAGGAUGGGGGUGUCGGUCUUUCCCAAAUGAUGUCCCUCUGGGCUAGGGGCCUGAGCCGUGGAGCCCC